rnacentral:rRNA from 1 species
AUUGAACGCUGGCGGCAGGCUUAACACAUGCAAGUCGAGCGGAGCGAGGGUGCUUGCACCUUAGCUUAGCGGCGGACGGGUGAGUAAUGCUUAGGAAUCUGCCUAUUAGUGGGGGACAACAUUCCGAAAGGAAUGCUAAUACCGCAUACGCCCUACGGGGGAAAGCAGGGGAUCUUCGGACCUUGCGCUAAUAGAUGAGCCUAAGUCGGAUUAGCUAGUUGGUGGGGUAAAGGCCUACCAAGGCGACGAUCUGUAGCGGGUCUGAGAGGAUGAUCCGCCACACUGGGACUGAGACACGGCCCAGACUCCUACGGGAGGCAGCAGUGGGGAAUAUUGGACAAUGGGCGGAAGCCUGAUCCAGCCAUGCCGCGUGUGUGAAGAAGGCCUUUUGGUUGUAAAGCACUUUAAGCGAGGAGGAGGCUACUUAGAUUAAUACUCUGGGAUAGUGGACGUUACUCGCAGAAUAAGCACCGGCUAACUCUGUGCCAGCCGCCGCCGUAA